rnacentral:rRNA from 1 species
UUGGAGGGCAAGUCUGGUGCCAGCAGCCGCGGUAAUUCCAGCUCCAAUAGCGUAUAUUAAAGUUGUUGCAGUUAAAAAGCUCGUAGUUGAAUUUCGGGAUCAAUAUAUCGGUCGUGCCAUCGGUACGUACUGGUAUGAUUGGUUUCUCCUUUCUGACGAACCAUGAUGUCAUUAAUUUGGUGUUAUGGGAAGUUAGGACUGUUACUUUGAAAAAAUUAGAGUGUUUAAAGCAGGCUUUGGCUUGAAUACAUUAGCAUGGAAUAAUGAAAUAGGACGUUCGAACCUAUUUUGUUGGUUUCUAGGAUCAACGUAAUGAUUAAUAGGGAUAGUUGGGGGCAUUAGUAUUCAAUUGUCAGAGGUGAAAUUCUUGGAUUUAUUGAAGACUAACUACUGCGAAAGCAUUUGCCAAGGAUGUUUUCAUUAAUCAAGAACGAAAGUUAGGGGAUCGAAGACGAUCAGAUACCGUCGUAGUCUUAACCAUAAACUAUGCCGACUAGGGAUCGGAUGAUGUUAAUUUUUUAAUGACUCAUUCGGCGCCUUACGGGAAAC